rnacentral:rRNA from 1 species
GCCCAGACUCCUACGGGAGGCAGCAGUGGGGAAUAUUGCACAAUGGGGGAAACCCUGAUGCAGCGACGCCGCGUGAGCGAUGAAGUAUUUCGGUAUGUAAAGAUCUAUCAGCAGGGGAGAAGAUGACGGUACCUGACUAAGAAGCCCCGGCUAACUACGUGCCAGCAGCCGCGGUAAUACGUAGGGGGCAAGCGUUAUCCGGAUUUACUGGGUGUAAAGGGAGCGUAGACGGCGAUGCAAGCCAGAUGUGAAAGCCCGGGGCUCAACCCCGGGACUGCAUUUGGAACUGUGUGGCUGGAGUGUCGGAGAGGCAGGCGGAAUUCCUAGUGUAGCGGUGAAAUGCGUAGAUAUUAGGCGGAACACCAGUGGCGAAGGCGGCCUGCUGGACGAUGACUGACGUUGAGGCUCGAAAGCGUGGGGAGCAAACAGGAUUAGAUACCCUCGUAC